rnacentral:rRNA from 1 species
UAGGGAAUAUUGCGCAAUGGACGAAAGUCUGACGCAGCAACACCGCGUGAAGGAUGAAGCUUUUCGGAGUGUAAACUUCUGUCGGCAGGGAAUAAUAAUGACUGUACCUGCAAAGGAAGCAUCGGCUAACUACGUGCCAGCAGCCGCGGUAAUACGUAGGAUGCAAGCGUUGUCCGGAAUUAUUGGGCGUAAAGAGUUUGUAGGCGGUUGCUUAAGUCUGUCGUUAAAGGUCGGAGCUCAACUCCGGUAUGGCGAUGGAAACUGGGCGGCUAGAGUGUGCUAGAGGUAACUGGAAUUCCAGGUGUAGCGGUGAAAUGCGUAGAUAUCUGGAGGAACACCAGUGGCGAAAGCGGGUUACUGGAGCAUUACUGACGCUGAAGACGAAAGCCAGGGUAGCAAAAGGGAUUAGAUACCCCAGUAGUCCCUGAGCGGGCUGGCAAGGCGCAU